rnacentral:rRNA from 1 species
CGACCGGCCACACUGGGACUGAGACACGGCCCAGACUCCUACGGGAGGCAGCAGUGGGGAAUAUUGCGCAAUGGGCGAAAGCCUGACGCAGCGACGCCGCGUGGGGGAUGAAGGCCUUCGGGUUGUAAACCCCUUUCAGCAGGGACGAAGCGAAAGCGACGGUACCUGCAGAAGAAGCGCCGGCUAACUACGUGCCAGCAGCCGCGGUAACACGUAGGGCGCAAGCGUUGUCCGGAAUUAUUGGGCGUAAAGAGCUCGUAGGCGGUCUGUUGCGUCCGCUGUGAAAUCUCGGGGCUUAACCCCGAGCCUGCAGUGGAUACGGGCAGACUAGAGGUAGGUAGGGGAGAAUGGAAUUCCCGGUGUAGCGGUGAAAUGCGCAGAUAUCGGGAGGAACACCGGUGGCGAAGGCGGUUCUCUGGGCCUUACUGACGCUGAGGAGCGAAAGCGUGGGGAGCGAACAGGAUUAGAUACCCUGGUAGUCCACGCUGUAAACGUUGGGCGCUAGGUGUGGGAUCCUUCCACGGAUUCCGUGCCGCAGCUAACGCAUUAAGCGCCCCGCCUGGGGAGUACGGCCGCAAGGCUAAAAC